GAGUCGGCCAGGUGAUCGCUGUCUGUAAUUACAGAUAGAGGAAAGUCCGGACUUCACAGGACAGGAUGCCAGGUAACGCCUGGGAGGCGUGAGCCUACGGCCAGUGCAACAGAAAGUAUACCGCCAGCCUCGCUGGUAAGGGUGAAAUGGUGCGGUAAGAGCGCACCGCGCUUCUGGCAACAGUAAGCGGCAGGGUAAACCCCAUCCGAAGCAAGACCAAAUAGGGAAACUACAGGCGUGGUCCGCGCUGUUUCCGGGUAGGUCGCAACAGGUAAGUGGUGACGCUUAUCGCAGAUGAAUGAUCACCCUCGACAGAAUCCGGCUUAUCGGCCGGCUCC
rnacentral:RNase_P_RNA from 1 species